UCUUUGUAAGGGGAAGUGGCUAUGAUUUUCUAGGACUGGUGGGAGAGCGCCAGACGGCGGCACGGGGACCAGUGCACAGAAGAAAGGCCAGGAGGAUGACUGAGCUGGGGUCCGAGGUGCAGGUGGAGCUCCGGGGUCUGCCCCACGCCGUGUGUGACGAGCUAGUGACACUGUAUUUCGAGAACCGGCGGCGCUCCGGGGGCGGCCCUCUGAAAGGCUGGCAGCGGCUGGAUGGAGGCGGGAUCCUCACCUUUCAAGAGCCAGAGGAUGCUCAGCGAGUCCUGGCCCAGGCCAGCCAUGUGCUGCAGGGCACAGCUGUGAGUGUGGUGCCUUCCCCACCCCGGGCCCCACAGCGUCUGUUGGUCCUGGGCCUGAGGCCGGGCACAGCCCCAGACCUCCUGGAACUUUAUGUGGAGAGCCUCUUGAGCACCGAGGGAGAGUGUCAAGCCCUCGCCAGUCCGCGGCCAGACCGGGCCCUGGUACAGUUACCCACGCCUCUUUCGGAAGCAGAGUUUGAAGAGCUGGCUACUCGGUCCAGUGGGAAAACACUGGGCGGCACAACGGUGUCACUAGCCUCGGUGCCCCAGGCCCGUGCUGUAAGGGUUGUGAGGACAGAUCAGCCCCCAGAUCCCACACUACUUCAGCUCUACCUGGAGAACUCUCGCCGCAGUGGGGGCGGUGCCCUGAAGGGGCUGCGGACACUACCUAGGGCCCAGGGAACUGUUGUCACUUUCCAGCAGUGGGAGGUGGCAGAGCGAGUGUUGAGGCAAAAUCACCAGCUUGGCGAUUUAGAGCUAAACAUAGUACCCCACUAUGAUGUCCUGGAGCCUGAGCCCGAGCCUGAGCCCGAGCCUGAGCCUGAGCCUAAACCAGAGGAAGGAGAUGGACCAGCUCUGGGAGAGAUGAUUUCCACAGAGACCUUUGGAAAAAUAGUGCCCAUGGAGAAACUGGAAGCCACGAUGACUAUAAAGAAACCAGGGAUAACACUGCCUAUGGAGAGUGCUGUGGGGACAGUUCCUUUGGAGAAAAUGGAGGCAACAGAGACUAGGGAGACACCAGAGGAAUCAGUGACUGUGGAGAGACCAGGGGCAGUAGAACUUCUGGGAAGCACAGUACUGGAAGAAACUGUGCCAGGGGAGAGAUCAAGAGAGCCAGUGGGGGACACAGUGCCCAAGAAGACGGUGCUAGGGGAGGGAGGGGAAGAGAUGGUUAAAGAAGUGGUGCAUGUGGAGAUCCUGCUGCCCAUGGAGCCAGGUGCCUUGCGAUUUCUGCAACUCUAUUACCAGGAGUUUCUUACCAGCCUUGGUGAAGUGACCCUUUGCCCACUGGAUGGUCCAGAUGUCACUGGUUUUCGGCUCAGUGGGGCACAGGAGCCAUGCCAAGCUGGCAAAGACUUCCUACAGAGUCUUCUGGGCAGCAUUGAGUGCCAAACACUGCCUCUGAAACACCCAGGCAGUGCCUGCUUCCUGCUGGGCAGUGAGGGCCAAGGCCUGCUGAAAGACCUGGAGGCCCAGUUCCGUUGCAUCCUCACAGUAGAACAACAGGUGGUAACAGCUUUUGAUGCAGACCCCGUGGAGCUUGACCCCACAGACCCUCUAGAGUCACCAGAAAGCUGGGCCUAUGACCCCCCGCCCUCUAGCAGCACUGCUCCAGACACUUCAACUAUCCAAAUAGAGGAGAUCAAGAAGUUCCUGGACACCCUAGAUGAAGAAGAAAAUCCUCUCUUGGAGAUGGAGGAGGAGGAACUGCAUGAGUCUGAGGAGGGGGUAGCAGCCCCUGGCAGAACAAAGGAGACACUUGAGGAGGAGGCAGCCCUGCAGUUGGCCCUGCAUCAUUCACUGGAGGAGAAGAGCCUGAUGAUGUGGGAGACAAGAACUCUGAGGCAAGCGCUGAUGAUGUCUCUGCUGGAUGACAGAGAGCCCGAUGACAGUGGUGGUAGUCACAGUAGUGGGAGACUCGUGGUUCAUGUUGCCUGUGAUCAGGACCUCAGCGAGCUGAGCCAAGUUUUGGAGACUGUUCUCAGGGAACAGCUACAAGAAGAGAGGGUGAUGGGUGUGGACCAGCAUUUACCCCCUGCAUUCUGGUCCCGCCUGGCGAGGCACCAUGAUGUGACAGUUGUUCUGCAGGGAAACUGUGCUGUCUUAAGUGGCUAUGGUCCCCAGCCCUCCUGUGCUGCCAAUCACCUCAGAGAACUGAUGACUGUCCCCUUAAGCCAGAGCCACACAUUGGCCCCAGACUCUGCCAGAGCAGAAGUGGUGCCAGAGGUGAUGGGGCAGCAGCCCUUAGAGCUGGAGUGCCUGGAGGAGAGCAGUGAGGAAUUCCAGGAGACAGUCCAAGCCUUUUACAGCACCUUGGACAGCUCCCCAAACAAGCUUAGCAUUGUCAAGGUUGAGCGGGUAUCUAAUCCCCUACUCCAGAGUCAGUACGAGCUCCAUAAGAAGAAACUGGAACAGUCAUGUCUGCAGCACCCUGUUGAGCGAAUCCUGUACCACGGGACCUCUUGGCAAGCUGUGCCUGAUAUCUGCAGCCAUGGCUUCAAUCGGAGCUUUUGUGGUCGAAAUGACACUCUAUAAAACCAUGGAGGAUCAGAUUCCAGGGCAAACCUUUGAUGGAGCCUUACCCAGGGCUAUAUAGCACUGUGAUAAGUGUUGGAGAUACAAUUACAGGCAAGCAAGAUGAUUCCUGCUGUCGAGGAGUUUACAUUCUCCUACAGGAAGAUAGCAUGUAAUUCCACUAGAGUUGGAAAGCGGAGCCAGGGGCCCCUGGGGAAGAGUCUGAGUUCCAGAGGGUAGAAAAGGAGGUUCAGAAUGCAUACAAGCUUCGAGAGAAAAGAGUCCUUCAGACUGCUGAAGGAAAAGACCCUGGAAGAUUUUGGAAGAAGUCAGCACAAGAGGAAUUGGGCAGUCUCCAUCAUGUCCAUAUCCUCAGCUUGCUACAUUAGAGACUUCAGGGAGCUUCCCCUUGGGUGAGAUCUAGGACUCUCUCUUGGUUGAGCUGAGUUACCUCGCUCCCAAUAGGAGAGCUCCUUCACUCUCUAUUGCCUGACAUAUAUUCUCCUACUUAUAUUUUCUCUGAUUUCUGUUUUGCUACUGAUCUGGAUAAAUAGAUUUCUUAGUUAA